rnacentral:rRNA from 1 species
UGGGGAAUAUUGGACAAUGGGCGCAAGCCUGAUCCAGCAAUGCCGCGUGUGUGAAGAAGGCCUGCGGGUUGUAAAGCACUUUAAGCAGGAAAGAAGGCUUCAGGGUUAAUACCCUUGGGGAUUGACGUUACCUGCAGAAUAAGCACCGGCUAACUCCGUGCCAGCAGCCGCGGUAAUACGGAGGGUGCGAGCGUUAAUCGGAAUUACUGGGCGUAAAGCGCGCGUAGGCGGUUUGCUAAGUCCGCUGUGAAAGCCCCGGGCUUAACCUGGGAACUGCAGUGGAUACUGGCAAGCUAGAGUAUGGUAGAGGAGAGUGGAAUUUCCGGUGUAGCAGUGAAAUGCGUAGAGAUCGGAAGGAACACCAGUGGCGAAGGCGGCUCUCUGGACCAAUACUGACGCUGAGGUGCGAAAGCGUGGGGAGCAAACAGG